rnacentral:snRNA from 1 species
GUUCAGGAAUGAACAUAUACUAAAAUUGGAACAAUACAGAGAGAUCAAGAGACACGGACAUCCCUGCGCAAGGAUGACACGCAAAUUCGUGAAGCGUUCCAAAAUUUU